rnacentral:rRNA from 1 species
AACGAACGCUGGCGGCAUGCCUAGCACAUGCAAGUCGAACGGGAUCCUAGCUUGCUAGGUGAGAGUGGCGGACGGGUGAGUAACACGUGGGAAUCUGCCCUUUGGUCCGGGAUAACCGCGGGAAACUGCGGCUAAUACCGGAUGCCCUCGCGAGAGGAAAGAUUUAUCGCCAGAGGAGGAGCCCGCGUCCGAUUAGGUAGUUGGUGGGGUAAAGGCCUACCAAGCCGACGAUCGGUAGCUGGUCUGAGAGGAUGAUCAGCCACACUGGGACUGAGAUACGGCCCAGACUCCUACGGGAGGCAGCAGUGGGGAAUAUUGGACAAUGGGGGCAACCCUGAUCCAGCAAUGCCGCGUGGGUGAUGAAGGCCUUAGGGUUGUAAAGCUCUUUUGCCAGGGAAGAUGAUGACUGUACCUGGAGAAUAAGCCCCGGCUAACUUCGUGCCAGCCGCCGCAGAAG